UUUAGAUCUUUGGAUGUAACUGCAGUUUGAAUUUUACAAUCGAAACGCGUCAAACAUCAUAUGCUGUUCUUCUACUUGCCACAUGUUACUCUUCGAAAACCAACUAUAACUUUUAAAUACCCUUUGCUAACGUAUAUAAAUCGGGGAUUUAGUUUGGUGAAUAUGGUUGAUAUUUUUGGUGAUGUUUUAAAUUGUUUUAAUAAUAUCUAAAUCAUAAUACUUUAUUUUUGAUCUAUUCUGGUGUGUCACAGAAACCUCACAGAAAUAUUUCGUAAUGGCCAUAUAGUAACCAUUAACUACGUUCCUUGCCGAAGACAUUUAGUAAAAAUCUCAAAUGAUAAUUUUAUUAUAACAUUAGUAUUCGAAAACGUUUAUAUUUUAAACCAAUUUAUUUUUCUCCACCCUUCUUUGGGUCGUCUGCAACACUUUUCAAUUGAAUUGCAGAAGCCACGUAUGCUCUGGCAUAUGUAGUUUUUUGGUACACAAUAUCCUUCUCCACCGCAUCCUAAAAUAUUCAUUUGACUAUAUAGUGGGUUUGUAAUAUUUAUGUGGAGUAUACUUACGCUUUCCAUAGCUGAUAAUAAAAAUCACGCUCAGAAAGGCUGCCAACAAAAAUCCUUUCAGAAAGCUGACCAUUUUUGUUCAAUAUUUCGAGUUGUAUUGUAUGAACAAAAUUUGUCUUGCCAAAAUUAUGGAUAGUUGUGAAGUUGUGGACUCGAAGCAAACACAAUCUUAUGGCAUCCAUCGAGGAUGGGUUAAUUUUGUAAUACAGUGUAAUUAAUGUAGAAUUGUAAUAUAUAAUUACAAAAUCAAUAUAUCAUGUGAAAUAAGCAAUUCCAUGCCAAGCCCUUUCCAGGCAAUUGCAAUUAUCACGCAAACAAUUAAAAAAAGCUUCUGAAGUUUCUCCUCAUGUACAGCCAUUUUAUUUGUUACUCUAGAGAGGGAUGGAUACCUUCUCGAUUUAUUUUCUUCUCAUAUCUUUGCUGUCCGUUACUUUGUAUUCUAGAGCCGCUAAUUGGCCGGAAUGUGCAAGUUAUGGACGCUGCUAUACCGUCAAUACCCCUUUUGGACACUUUAGACAGACAAGGUGUGUUCCUUGUUCAAUGGGUUGAUUAUUACUUUAAGUAAGAUGUUUAGUUAAAUUGCAAAAAUCUUGCAAUGAUUUAGGGUGAAAAUGUAUAAGAGCAAAACUUUUAAUAAACUACUUAUUGACUUUACAAAUAUA